rnacentral:rRNA from 1 species
UACGGAGGGUGCGAGCGUUAAUCGGAAUUACUGGGCGUAAAGCGCGCGUAGGUGGCUUAUUAAGCAGGAUGUGAAAUCCCCGGGCUCAACCCGGGAACUGCAUCCUGAACUGGUAGGCUAGAGUAUAGUAGAGGAUAGUGGAAUUUCUGGUGUAGCGGUGAAAUGCGUAGAUAUCAGAAGGAACAUCAGUGGCGAAGGCGACUGUCUGGACUAAUACUGACACUGAGGUGCGAAAGCGUGGGGAGCAAACAGG